rnacentral:tRNA from 1 species
GGAGGCGUACCAAAGCGGUCGUACUGGGGCGGUCUUGAAAACCGUUUGACGGCAACGUCACGGGGGUUCGAAUCCCUCCGCCUCCGCCA